UUGAACGCUGGCGGCAUGCCUUACACAUGCAAGUCGAACGGCAGCACGGGAGCAAUCCUGGUGGCGAGUGGCGAACGGGUGAGUAAUACAUCGGAACGUGUCCUGUAGUGGGGGAUAGCCCGGCGAAAGCCGGAUUAAUACCGCAUACGAUCUGUGGAUGAAAGCGGGGGCUCCUUCGGGACCUCGCGCUGCAGGGGCGGCCGAUGGCAGAUUAGCUAGUUGGUGGGGUAAAGGCCUACCAAGGCGACGAUCUGUAGCUG
rnacentral:rRNA from 2 species